AAAAUAAUUUUGUUAUAUAAAAAAAGUAAAAAAAAACAUUUUAUGAAUUAUUUUUUAAAAACUUUGUAAACUUUUUUUAAAUAAAAAAUAAUUAUUAAACUUUUUAUUAAAAAAACAAUUUUUAAUACAUUUUUAUAAAAGCAAAUAUUAUUAUUUUUUAAUUAAAACAUAUUUUUAACUUUUUUAAAAUGUCACAUAAGCAAUUUAUAGUAAAAAAAGUCAACGGGGGGCUAGCAAAUGCAAAAGGGGGUAAACUUGAAGGGCCAAAAUCGAGCAAUUGAAACUUAGAGGGCUAAAAUCAAGCAAU
rnacentral:lncRNA from 1 species